rnacentral:rRNA from 1 species
UACGAAGGGGGCUAGCGUUGCUCGGAAUGACUGGGCGUAAAGGGCGCGUAGGCGGUUCGUACAGUCAGACGUGAAAUUCCCGGGCUCAACCUGGGGGCUGCGUUUGAUACGUGCGGGCUUGAGUUCGGAAGAGGGUCGUGGAAUUCCCAGUGUAGAGGUGAAAUUCGUAGAUAUUGGGAAGAACACCGGUGGCGAAGGCGGCGACCUGGUCCGGAUACUGACGCUGAGGCGCGAAAGCGUGGGUAGCAAACGGG